rnacentral:rRNA from 1 species
UUUUAGUCUGUUCAGAGGAACCUGUCCCGUAAUCGAUAUUCCACGUUAAACCUUACUUAUUUUUGUUAUCAGCUUGUAUACCGCCGUCGUCAGAAUGUCCUAAGAAGGGUUUAAUUUUCUUAAAUUUUUAUUAAAAAUGAUGUCAGGUCAAGGUGUAGCUUACGAAUAAGUGGUGAUGGGUUACAAUAAAUUUAUUUAUAACGAAUAAAGUUUUGAAAUAUUCUUUUGAAGGUGGAUUUGACGGUAAUUAACUUAAUUAAAUUAAUUUGAUUUUAGCUCUAAAACAUGCACACAUCGCCCGUCGCUCUCGUUAAUUAAGGCGAGAUAAGUC